rnacentral:rRNA from 1 species
UUGAACGCUGGCGGCAGGCCUAACACAUGCCAGUCGAGCGGAUGAAGGGAGCUUGCUCCUGGAUUCAGCGGCGGACGGGUGAGUGAUGCCUAGGAAUCUGCCUGGUAGUGGGGGAUAACGUCCGGAAACGGGCGCUAAUACCGCAUACGUCCUGAGGGAGAAAGUGGGGGAUCUUCGGACCUCACGCUAUCAGAUGAGCCUAGGUCGGAUUAGCUAGUUGGUGGGGUAAAGGCCUACCAAGGCGACGAUCCGUAACUGGUCUGAGAGGAUGAUCAGUCACACUGGAACUGAGACACGGUCCAGACUCCUACGGGAGGCAGCAGUGGGGAAUAUUGGACAAUGGGCGAAAGCCUGAUCCAGCCAUGCCGCGUGUGUGAAGAAGGUCUUCGGAUUGUAAAGCACUUUAAGUUGGGAGGAAGGGCAGUAAGUUAAUACCUUGCUGUUUUGACGUUACCAACAGAAUAAGCACCGGCUAACUUCGUG